UGUAGUAGUUGUAAUUUACUAAA
rnacentral:snRNA from 1 species